rnacentral:rRNA from 1 species
GUCGAACGAUGAACCACUUCGGUGGGGAUUAGUGGCGAACGGGUGAGUAACACGUGGGCAAUCUGCCCUGCACUCUGGGACAAGCCCUGGAAACGGGGUCUAAUACCGGAUACUGACCCUCACGGGCAUCUGUGAGGUUCGAAAGCUCCGGCGGUGCAGGAUGAGCCCGCGGCCUAUCAGCUUGUUGGUGAGGUAAUGGCUCACCAAGGCGACGACGGGUAGCCGGCCUGAGAGGGCGACCGGCCACACUGGGACUGAGACACGGCCCANACUCCUACGGGAGGCAGCAGUGGGGAAUAUUGCACAAUGGGCGAAAGCCUGAUGCAGCGACGCCGCGUGANGGAUGACGGCUUCCGGUUGUU